rnacentral:lncRNA from 1 species
GUCUACUAUAUUUGUUGUAUGGAAUGAUUGUAAGGUGUACCUAUCUAGCGGGCAGAUGUCAUGUGACCUUGACCUCAUUUUCAUGGUUCAGUGGUCAAAGUUAAGUUUUUGAGUUUUGGUCUUUUUAUGCCCCACCUACGAUAGUAGAGGGGCAUUAUGUUUUCUGGUCUGUGCGUCCGUUCGUCCGUCCGUCUGUUCGUUCGUUCGUUCGUUCGUCCGUCUGUCCCGCUUCAGGGUAAAGUUUUUGGUCAAGGUAGUUUUUGAUGAAGUUGAAGUCCAAUCAACUUGAAACUUAGUAUACAUGUGCCCUAUGAUAUGAUCUUUCUAAUUUAAAUGCCAAAUUAGAGUUUUGACCCCAAUUUUACGGUUCACUGAACAUAGAAAAUGAUAGUGCAAAUUUCAGGUUAAAGUUUUUGGCUUCAGGUUAAAGUUUUUGGUCAAGGUAGUUUUUGAUGAAGUUGAAGUCCAAUCAACUUGAAACUUAGUAUACAUGUGCCCUAUGAUAUGAUCUUUCUAAUUUAAAUGCCAAAUUAGAGUUUUGACCCCAAUUUUACGGUUCACUGAACAUAGAAAAUGAUAGUGCAAAUUUCAGGUUAAAGUUUUUGGCUUCAGGUUAAAGUUUUUGGUCAAGGUAGUUUUUUGAUGAAGUUGAAGUCCAAUCAACUUGAAACUUAGUAUACAUGUGCCCUAUGAUAUGAUCUUUCUAAUUUAAAUGCCAAAUUAGAGUUUUGACCCCAAUUUUACGGUUCACUGAACAUAGAAAAUGAUAGUGCAAAUUUCAGGUUAAAGUUUUUGGUCAAGGUAGUUUUUGAUAAAGUAGAAGUCCAAUCAACUUGAAACUUAGUAUACAUGUUCCCUUUGAUAAGAUCAUUCUAAUUUUAAUGCCAAAUUAGAGAAUUUAGUCCAAUUUCACAGUCCUUUAAACAUAGAAAAUGAUAGUGCGAGUGGGGCAUCCGUGUACUGUGGACACAUUCUUGUUAUCUAAUACU